GCUGGGCGCAGUGGCACAUGCCUGUAAUCCCAGUAUCUCGGGAGGCUGAGACUGGAGGACCGUGAGUUCAGCAAUAGUGAGAUGCUAAGCAACUCAGUAAGACCCUGUCUCUA
rnacentral:sRNA from 1 species